rnacentral:rRNA from 1 species
UAAGGAAUAUUGGGCAAUGGAGGCAACUCUGACCCAGCCAUGCCGCGUGAAGGAUGACGGCCCUCGUGGUUGUAAACUUCUUUUGUACGGGAAUAACCCUCCGAACGUGUUCGGAGCUGAAGGUACCGUAAGAAUAAGGAUCGGCUAACUCCGUGCCAGCAGCCGCGGUAAUACGGAGGAUCCAAGCGUUAUCCGGAUUUACUGGGUUUAAAGGGUGCAUAGGCGGAUUGAUAAGUCAGUGGUGAAAGCCUACAGCUUAACUGUAGAACUGCCAUUGAUACUGCCAGUCUGGAGUAUGGUUGAGGUAGCUGGAAUGUGUCAUGUAGCGGUGAAAUGCUUAGAGAUGACACAGAACACCAACGGCGAAGGCAGGUUACCAACCCAUUACUGACGCUGAGGCACGAAAGCGUGGGGAUCAAACAG